GGCAUUACAAGGAGACAAUCGCUCUCAGAGAGCCACGUGUUCAGAGGUAAGUUAUCCUGCACUAGACUACUAGUAGCUAAUGUAUACAGACUGCAUCUUAGACUUAAGAAACGUUUGAUACGUGUUCUUGUGCGUGGCUUGAAAAACCUAAACAGAAACGGACCAUUCUAUUUUAGUGUGUUAAACCUGGACCGCACCUUUUACUAAUUUUGUACAAUGUAUUUAUUAAAAAAGGAAACAUUUGGGGACCAGUCAUUCGCAAAAAAGUUGUUGCUUUUUCACCUGUAUAAUUGAUUUUCCGUGUGGCAAAAUCAAGUGUGCCGUGGAAAUUUGAAGGACGAUUUUAUAUAGCCUCACACAAAUAGUUUUAAAUCCAUUGGCACUGCUUCUUAAUAAUUACGUUAGAAACGUUUGGUUGUAGACACAUAACUUUCUGUGAAUUAGUUUAUCUCAAUGGCCUUUAUUCAUAUUCUCGGUUUAAUUUCGGAAAUAAAUUUAGUUCCGGGGGAAUUAUUACUUUGCUGUACAUCAACAACGCGAUAGCACUGUAACCAAAAAUAUAUAGUAACAACGACGAUACUAGCAUAAUAUUCAACGUAGUUUUACGUUUUAAAGUUUCACUUCAAUGGACAGCAUGAAUGUAAAUGAUGAGAUUGCUUUUCUGAUUUAAACGAGCCUAUAUGUCUUUGAUAAUCAUUUGACAGUCUGGUGUAACCGAUGUGCAAAAUGAGGCAAAUCUUCCUAAUAAAAUAAACAUAUAAUGUGUGUGACGUUCUUCAUAAUAGAUUACUGCUUUUUCAUUAAUGGUGUUAGUAGAUCUUAGAGAGGUUAUACUCUGUAAAAGUGAAACAUCUGUGUUGGCACCAUAGUUUCAAAGUACAGUAUAAAUAAUUAGAAAUUAAACGGGAUCAGUACACUCUAUACCACAAGCAAACAAGGUAAUGCAUUAUCUGGAACUGACACUAGAAUUCAUGGAAUUACUGAUCUGUAAAGCAGGCUACUGUGCACUACUUAGAAGUAUCUCGAGGAGCAUACAUAUUUGGGAGCUUUUCAUAGCACUGAAAUGGAGAAUAAUACAACAAAUGUAAAACCGACCAUUAGUUGGCUUACAGGGAAGCAUUUAUGCAGUGACAUUCCUCUGCCUUUAUGAAAAAGUAGCCUAGAUCAAACAUUAUUAUUAAAGUGUAGAUUACACUGACAAAUAUUUUUAAGUAUAUUUAAGUAGGCUGGUUUAUAAAACUAAAUUGGCCAAUUUUAAGUAUUUCCUAUACCUAAAGUAGCCUAUUUUCUUAAAUUAUAUUGGCAUACCAUCUUUGAACUACUUUUAAACUUUGUAUCCUAAAUUGGUAGACUUUAAAUAGGCCUAAAUUUACUAUUGGUAUGUGAAGUGAAAGCGCACUUUAAGUACACUACCUGGGAUUUAAUUCUGAAAAAGUAUUUGUCUUGUGUACAUCUUAAACAACUCUCAUCACAAAAAAAUCAGACUGUUUAUUUUUUCUGCUUCCUGAUGUAAUUGUGUUAGGAAAGAAUGGCAUCCAGUGAACAAAAUAAAAAAUCUGCUAUACAUCGUCUACUGAUUUGUCUGUGAACAUGACUACUGUAGGCGAUGACCUUAAAAUGUUACUAGCAUUGCUUAGCUUCACAUCGUUAAGGAUGGGUGUGCCUGUUGACGACUUAUGUUAUGCUCAUACAAACAAAAGCAUAGGACUAGGUUACUGAUUUUAUCAGGACCAGAUUAGGUACAAGUGUUAGAUUCCAAUUUGAUAUAGAUGUUCAUAAGCUUUAACACAUGCUCCAUAACUGAAGGAUGACCUAAAGGUAGAUUAUUUGGUGAUACGUUUUUCGCAUGGGAAAGCUCACCGGUCCACUGGGCUUUCUGUUAUGAUAAGAAUAAAGUUGGACUAUUCUAGAAGUUAUGAACCCUUGCGGACAACAGUGCCACCUUGUGCCUUCUCGUAGCAUUAGUUUUUUUUUUUUACCGGAGCUGGAAUGUCCCGUGCUUCCCAGGGAGGUGUUUCGAUUGGGAGUCCUAUAGCUAUUUCCUUAACUCAGUCAUUCAGUCAACUAAGUUGGAAGGUGACAGUCGCCUGCUUAUUAAUAGGAUAUGCCUCCGCCGCGCAACACAACCGCUUAUCAGGGUCUGCAGCCACAAAAUGGAACGGAACAGGGUCAGAGUGAAGAAGUCCUCCUGCUUGUAGCUUUGCUUCUCAUCUAUGUGGUAUUUGGACUCCUACUCAUACUGCACACCGGCUGGAAUAUCGUUGUGGAAGCGACACAGCAAAGAGGUGCAACAGAGCCCCCCUUGUCAGUGGAGGAGACCAACCCUCACCGUGGUCCAUAUGAACCGACGUAUGAUUAAGGAUCGGCAGGGAUUUGACUGGUGAACAGCCGAUGACUUGUGUGUGAUGUCACUCUACUCUUCAGAUUCCAUAUGUGCAUUCAAUUGCGUUCUGUGCUUUGACUGGAAAAGGACCCUGUGACAUCAAGUGAAUCGGCGAAUCAAAAGAUUUUUCACAUUCUGACCUGUUGGCAGGGGGGGGGGGGAGCCAACAACCUGACUCAGAUGGAAUAGUUCAUGAAGCGCCCCAGAGAGACUGUACUCUGAUCGUGGAGGACAUUUUGAAAGUAAAGUUACUACAGUGUUUCGUAAGCAUUAGGGGGUGAAGAGAAUACAUACUACUCCCCACCACCUACAGGGAAAAACCUUGCUGUGAAAGCUUCAGUAGGGUGCUUUAUGAUCUUCUGCGCACUUUGUCUCCUGAGAAGAAGCCCUGUUGGCCCCAGCACCUGCCAGGGGUUAGCCUUCGCUUACAAUUUAACGCCCCGUACCGCCACGGGAUACUCGCUUUUAUGGGGCAGUUUACAGAAGUGUGCCCCUUAUCGGACCCCCCAAAGGAAAACAAGCGGGUCACUGUGCUGUUAGGGAGUCAGCGGGCUGUGAUAAAGGAGACCAACGGGUCAAUGCCAGCAGAUACUGUAGCUAGCGUGGUACGCUUGCAGAGACAGUGCAAUCAGAAUGAUCAAUGUACUGUUAUGUUACAAUGGUCCAUUCAUUUGUUUUUUUUCUUAUCUUUGGGUUAUUUAAGGGGAAAAGUGCAAUGUAAAAAUGAUACUGUAUAUUUUGAUUAUUAACAUAAAUAAACUGUAAAUAACUGUAAAUAAACUAAAAAGCAUUAAUCUUAA